GCCUGGGUGGCUCAGUCGGUUGAGCGUCCGACUUCAGCUCAGGUCACGAUCUCAUGGUUCAUGAGUUCAAGCCCCGUGUCAGGCU
rnacentral:tRNA from 1 species